rnacentral:rRNA from 1 species
GACGAACGCUGGCGGCGUGCUUAACACAUGCAAGUCGAACGGAAAGGCCUGCUUUCCCUUGUGGAUUGCGGGUACUCGAGUGGCGAACGGGUGAGUAACACGUGAGUGAUCUGCCCCCAACUUGGGUAUAAGCCUGGGAAACUGGGUCUAAUUCCCGAUAGGACUGCAGGGUGGUGCCUGUGGUGGAAAACGUUUUUCUAGUGGUUGGGGAUGCGCUCGCGGCCUAUCAGCUUGUUGGUGGGGUAAUGGACUACCAAGGCGGCGACGGGUCGCCAGCCGGGGAGCGGGGACGGCGACACUGGGACUGAGACCCGGCCCAGACUCCUACGAGAGGCAGCAGUGGGGAAGAAAGCAGAAUGGGCGGAAGCCUGAUGCAGCGACGCAGCGUGGGAGAUGACGGCCUUCGGGUUGUAAGCUCCUUUCGACCGCGAGGAAGCCACCUAGUUGGAAGGGUGGUGACGGUAGUGGUAGAAGAAGCACCGGCUAACUACGUG